rnacentral:rRNA from 1 species
UGGACAGCCUUCUGAAAGGAAGAUUAAUACAAGAUGGCAUCAUGAGUUCACAUGUUCACAUGAUUAAAGGUAUUCCGGUAGACGAUGGGGAUGCGUUCCAUUAGAUAGUAGGCGGGGUAACGGCCCACCUAGUCUUCGAUGGAUAGGGGUUCUGAGAGGAAGGUCCCCCACAUUGGAACUGAGACACGGUCCAAACUCCUACGGGAGGCAGCAGUGAGGAAUAUUGGUCAAUGGGCGAGAGCCUGAACCAGCCAAGUAGCGUGAAGGAUGACUGCCCUAUGGGUUGUAAACUUCUUUUAUAAAGGAAUAAAGUCGGGUAUGGAUACCCGUUUGCAUGUACUUUAUGAAUAAGGAUCGGCUAACUCCGUGCCAGCAGCCGCGGUAAUACGGAGGAUCCGAGCGUUAUCCGGAUUUAUUGGGUUUAAAGGGAGCGUAGAUGGAUGUUUAAGUCAGUUGUGAAAGUUUGCGGCUCAACCGUAAAAUUGCAGUUGAUACUGGAUAUCUUGAGUGCAGUUGAGGCAGGCGGAAUUCGUGGUGUAGCGGUGAAAUGCUUAGAUAUCACGAAGAACUCCGAUUGCGAAGGCAGCCUGCUAAGCUGCAACUGACAUUGAGGCUCGAAAGUGUGGGUAUCAAACAGGAUUAGAUACCCUGGUAGUCCACACGGUAAACGAUGAAUGCUCGCUGUUUGCGAUAUACUGCAAGCGGCCAAG